UAGUUUUUAUUUUAUUUUUCUUUAAAAAUAGAAUAGUUUUGGGAUUCCACGAAUGGGUCACGAAGAAUUUUAAUUCUUUUAUUAUUGUUCUUUGCAUGCCGUGGUGUUAAUCCUUUAUGCUCUUAACUUGCUUUUGUUCGUCUCUGCUUGUUAAUAUGCUUUAUUAACUGCGCUUAGACAAGCAUGAUAAGUAGGUUUAUCGUUUUCUUAAGC
rnacentral:lncRNA from 1 species